GGGCAGUGAGGGAGGCCUUGUACAUUAACUUCACAGAGCCCUCCACCUCCUGCAGCUGGACCUUGAGCUCCUCGUUCUGCUGCUCCAGUUCCUGCCGAGCGUUCUCGAUCUUCUGGGCGUGGCUGCGCUCCAGGUUCAGGCUGCUUCUCGGAACCAUCAUGCCGGAGCCCAGAAGGCUGGAGCGUCAGGACGCGGCUGAUGCUGGAGUCUGCACUGGGUGAGGCCUUCUGAACUCCCCCAUGCCUGGGCCUGCACUUGCCUGUUUGCUUCUGUGUUUCAUGUACUCAGCCAUGCACCGUUCUGCAAGUUUGCUGUUGGACUAUUGUUUCCACUCACCUCUGAGCCUGUGUCUCCAUCAGUGAGAUUGGACUGGAAGCACCCAAAACCUCCCCAAGAGGCACCACCCUGCCAGGUUCCUGCCCCAGUGCCCUGGCAUGUAGCUGGCUCAGCUGGGCACCGCCCGCCCUCACCCGCCACUUCUGCAGCUGCUCGAUGGCUUCAUCCCGGUUCUUGUUGGCUGAGUCGAUGUCAGCCUCCAGGUCCAUCUCCAGCUUCUUCCGGGCGGCCACUGCCAUGGAGUGCCACUUCCUCUCGUCCUCCAGCUCUGCCUCCAUCUCCCGCACCUGGAGGAAGGAACGCCGACAGCUUGGAAAGCUGGACCCACUCAGAGACCCUGCUCUGGCUCUGAACCCAGGUGCCUCUGCAGGAUCUGAGGGGCCUCCGGAAGCCAGUGGCGAUUACUGACUCGAAGAACUCUAAGAAGGUCCCGCUCGAACUGGAUCUUCAUGGCCUGCAGGUUGACCUCCAGCCGCAGAUUGGCGUUUUCAGUGUCCUGCAGCUCAUCCUCCAGCUCCUCCAGCUGGGUCUUCAACUCCUCCACCUGCUGCUCCAGAAGCCGCCUGGACUUCAGCUCAUGGACCUGAGCCCCAGAGAUCCCAAGUCAGGAGCAAAGAGACCGGCAGGGACCUGGGUCUGCUAGACCCGGAACGUGUGUAUGCGUUGACCCUCUGUGAUGACCCCGCUCGGGCCCCUCGCAAGGCCUGGCUGCCGGGCCCGGCACUCACCCUCUUGCCCUUGGAGCUCAUGAGGUCCUCCAUCUCCACACGGAACUGCUUGUUGAGCCGCUCCGGCUCCACUUUCUGCUCCAUGGCUUCCUCCAGGGCCCGGGCCAGCGACAGCACCUUGGUCUCCUUCUCUCCGGCCUCGGCCUUGGCCCGGUCACGCUCCUCUGCAUACUUGGCAGAGAUGGUCUUCUCCUCUGCCAGGAGCUGGGAAAGAGGGGCACCAUGAGGCUAAGCCCCACAGGCUCCCAGCUACAGCCCCCAGCAGGGCAGAGCAGCUGGACCCAGGCUAAUUUUUGUAUUCUUAGUAGAGAUGGGGUUUCACCAUGUUGGCCAGGCUGCUCUCGAACUCUUGACCUGGUGAUCUGCCCACCUCGGCUUCCCAAAGUUCUGGGCUUAUAGGCAUAUAAGCCCAUGCCCAGUCAAGAGUGCAUGCUUUAGAGUAUACAGGCCCCACAGUCUCUGCAGUAACUCAACCCCACUACCACAGCGCAACAACCAGAGAUGACACAAGAAUGACACAGUGUGUGUGUGCAUUCGGUCCAGCUUUGGUUCCCCAAAACGCAGCGGGCUGGACCCAGCCGCCGCAGUUCCAUGCUCGAUGUCUAUCCCGCCCCGGUGUUCACAUCUCUCUCAGCUUCCCGCAGAUCUUUUGGAAUAAGGAAGCAAUAUGAAUGCACAAAUAAAUGAUGUAAAUGGCAGGAAAACCAGUUCAUUAUAGAAAAUCUGAAAAAAAAACAUGAAAACCCAGAAAGGAAAAGUUCCUCCUCAACCCACUGCAUGAAGACACCCUCUUCCGCUGGCCUUCUCCCCCAGCCCCUCAACAAGCCAGAGACUAAGGGUCCUCUAAGGGCUGGCCCCACAUGACCCCUCCUGGGCAAGGUCUCGAGGGAGCCCAGGCUUUCUCUGAUGAGGCCCCCACCUUGGGCUGAGUGCCGGAAGGAGAGAAAAUGCAAAGGAUGGGGUGGAUGGCUACACACCUGGUCAAACUUCUGCUGCAGCUUCUCCAGGUGGCACGCCAUCUGGCGCUGGUGGUCCAGGACCACGAGCAGGUCGUCCCGCUCCUGCUGGGCCUGGCGCUUGGCACACUCCGCGGCUGCCAGUUCCUGCCACAAAGAUCCAGAAUGUGACCUGAAGGCAGCCACAGCCCCACAAGACCAUCCUUCCCAGCCCUGGGCACCCUCCUCUCAAGCCCUUCCCCAGCCCCACUUCCCCAGAAAGCUCUUCCUCCACGAUUCCUCUAGCUCACAGGGCUGGUGGCCCCCUAAAGUCAUAGCUUAAAAGCAUUGUAUGUUUAUAAAACUCAACUACAUUUAAGUGCUAGGAAUCAAGCCAGGUGCCAGGGUGUGUUGAUGACUAACAAGUGUCCUGGCCUAACCAGGGCAGACUACAUGGACAGAGCCACUCACUGCUGCCCCGGCCCUGUUCUGGGUAGCCAGAGCCCAGAGUCAGCUCCGGAGCCUGCAGGCAGGAGACGGCUGUACCCUGGAUGCACUCACACCCGGCAAGUUACGCUGCAGGGCACCCUCUAGACCCAGGGAACACUUCAGGACUGGCUCAGGUGCGACACGGACAGGGCAGCCACGGGAAAGCUGAGAACCUCCGUCACCAGGACACUGUCACGGUAGGAGGUGGUGGCAGCCAUGGAGCCUCAUCUGAUGUGAGGCAUUUCCCUCACACACAAUCUCAUACCAGGGAGGCCCGCUAUGUAACGGAACCCUGGAGGGAAUCCUUUUGUAACGUGAGAGCUGUCCCCAGCCAAUUCCUGGAGCUGAGUCGGACCUUAGCCCUGCCCUCUGCUGAAAGCCCUGUGCUGCCACCUGCUGGCUGCCGGGCAGCAAUGCCGCUCUCCGCUGCCGCCCCACCCACCUCCUCCAGCUGGAUCAUCUGGGCCUCCAGGCUCUUCAGGUUCCUCUCAUUCUCUUUGGCCUGGGCCAGGAUCUCCUCACGAGAGGCGCGGGUGUCAUCCAGCUCAUGCGUGCAGUCUUUGACCUGGGCCUGGGGCAGGGACAGAGGCUUGGCGCCCCACCCAGGUCCUUGGCCCUCGACCCUCCACCCCCACCCUUACACGUCAUCUCUCACACAGGGUUGUUGGCUGUGCUCUGCUCGAUAUUUAACCAACUAACCGUGGUGACAGGGAGAAAAAGCAACUGAGGACAAAAAUCUGUGUCCCAUUUCAUAACGCACACUGUUGGUCACUGUGGACACAAGCCCAGGCUGAGCUUCAUUUUCCACUUCUGUCCCCUCUGUGGGCCGGAGACCUGUGCCCACGGUGCCACCCCUAAUGCGCACCUGCUGCUUCAAACCAGUGCCCAGCCUGGCAGGUGUCCCCACCACAGGCAGGAAACACCUUUCCUUUUGUUACUCACCUCCUAUUCGUUUUAAUGCUAAAGAUUUUUGUCAAAUACUCUUUUUUUCCAUUUGCAGAUAACUCCAAAAACAGAUUCCCCAAGCCAAAGCUCAUGAACGGGUGUGUGCAGCCAGACCACAGCAGCAGAACAUGUAACAUGCCCACAGUUAGCUUUUACAGAUUCUUUUUUGCCCAGGCACAGCAGCUAACACUUUGGGAGGCCGAGGCUGUCAGAUCAGGAGGUCAGGAGUUUGAGACUACCCUGGCCAACACAGUGAACCACUGUCUCUACUAAAAAUACAAAAAUUAGCCAGGCAUGGGGACACACACCUAUAAUCCCAGCUACUCGGGAGGCUGAGGCAGGAGAAUCACCUGAACCCAGGAGGCAGAGGUUGUGGUAACACAAGAUUGCGCCACUGCACUCCAGCCUGGGCAAAAGAGCAAGACUACUAUUUUAAAUCUAGGGUUAUUCUUGCUACAUGAGAUGACAUAUCAGAGCUAUUUUUAUGUGUUCAUUGUUCUUCAAUUAUUGGUGAGGUGAAAAUUUCCAAGUAUGUAUCCCACACUCUAGGCUGCUUCUCGGAACCAUCACGCCGGAGCCCAGAAGGCUGGAGCGUCAGGACGCGGCUGAUGCUGGAGUCUGCACUGGGUGAGGCCUUCUGAACUCCCCCAUGCCUGGGCCUGCACUUGCCUGUUUGCUUCUGUGUUUCAUGUACUCAGCCAUGCACCGUUCUGCAAGUUUGCUGUUGGACUAUUGUUUCCACUCACCUCUGAGCCUGUGUCUCCAUCAGUGAGAUUGGACUGGAAGCACCCAAAACCUCCCCAAGAGGAACCACCCUGCCAGGUUCCCGCCCCAGCACCCUCGCAUGUAGCUGGCUCAGCUGGGCACCGCCCGCCCUCACCUGACACUUCCGCAUCUGCUCGAUGGCUCUAUCCCGCUUCCUGUUAACCAAGUUGAUGUGCGCCUCCUGGUGCAUCUUCAGCUUCGUCCAGGUGGCCAGUGCCUUGGAGUGCCACUUCCUCUCGUCCCCCAGCGCUGCCUUCAUCUCCCGUACCUGGAAUGCCGACAGCUUGGGAAGCUGGACCCACUCAGAGACCCUGCUCUGGCUCUGAACCCAGGUGCCUCUGCAGGAUCUGUGGGGCCUCCAGAAGCCAGUGGGGAUUACUGACUCUGAUAACAAUAAGAAGGUCCCGCUCAAACUGAACUUUCAUGGCCUGCAGGUUGACCUCAAGCUGCAGAUUGGCAUCUUCAGUGUCCCGCAACUUAUCCUCCAGCUCCUCCAUCUGGGUCUCCAUCUCCUCCACCUGCUGCUUCAGAGCCUGCCUGGACUUCAGCUUAUAGACCUGAGCCCCAGAGAGCCCAAGUCAGGAGCAAAGGGACUGGCAGGGACCUGGGACUGCUAGACCCGGAACGUGUGUAUGUGUUGCCCUCUGUGAUGACCCCGCUCGGGCCCCUCCCAAGGCCUGGCUGCCAGGCCCAGCACUCACGCUCUGGCCCUUGGAGAUCCUGAUGUCCUCCAUCUCCAUGCGGAACUGCUUGUUGAGCUGCUCCAGCUCCACCUUCUGCUCCAUUACUUCCUCCAGGGCCUGGGCCAGCGACAGCGCCUUGGUCUCAUUCUCUCGGGCCUCAGCCUUGGCCCAGUCACGCUCCUCUGCACACUUGGCAGAGAUGGUCUUCUCCUCUGCCAGGAGCUGGGAAAGAGGGGCACCAUGAGGCUCAGCCCCACAGGCUCCGAGCUACAGCCCCCAGCAGGGCAGAGCAGCUGGGCCCAAGCUAAUUUUUGUAUUCUUAGUACAGAUGGGGUUUCACCAUGUUGGCCAGGCUUCCCUCAGAUCUUUUGGAAUAAGGAAGCAAUAUGAGUGCACAAAUACAUGGUGUAAAUGGCAGGAAAACCACUUGAUUAUAGAAAAUCUGAAAAACGUGAAAACCCAGUUCCUCCUCAACCCAUGAAGACACCCUCUUCCGCUGGCCUUCUCCCCCAGCCUCUGAACAAGCCAGAGACUAGGGGUCCUCUAAGUGCUGGCCCCACACGACCCCUCCCGCGCAAACUCUCGAGGGAGCCCAGGGUUUCUCUGAUGAGGCCAUCUUGGGCUGAGUGCCGGAAGGAGAGGAAAUGCAAAGGAUGGGGUGAAUGGCUACACACCUGGUCAAACCUCUUCUGCUUCUCCUCCAGGUUGCACACCCUCUGGCACUGGUUGUCCAGCUCCUGCUGCAGCCAUGUCUUGGUAUUCUCCAUCUCCUCGUACCGCUGGCUCAGGCCCUCCAGGUCCUCCCGGACCUGCCCCUUCACCUCCUCUGCGGUUUCCAGGCACCCCACACUGUCAAUUCUCUUCUUCAUGUCGGCCACCUGGGCAGGAGCAAGGAGUAAGCAGAUGCCCGAGAUGGCACACACCUGUCCCUGGGGCAGCUAAGAGCCUGCCUGCCACACUGUGAAAGGGGAACCAGGGAUCUCCAUGCGGGGGAGACAAAUGAAGUUUCUGCAGAAAGGCAUCCAUCUAGUGUGUGAAGCUGCAGGGAGGCUGACUCCUAGGCCCACUGUGGGGACUCCAAGCCCUCAUCCACACCAAGCCUCUCGCUCUCUGGGGGACCACUCCCCGACAGCAAGGCUAGUGCCCUGUGAGGGUGUACACAAGGUCCCCAUCACUCAACCCUUGCAUCUGCAGAUAAACCUGCAACCACAUGCGCUCGAAGGCGACUCCUACCCUGACUUUGGAAUGAACUCCCAGCCCAUCCCGAGGUGGUUCCUUCUGGCCUGCCACGUAAAGGCCUAAGAUAGGAUCUACGACAGUCUAUAGAGAGGACUAGGGACUCCUUCUCAUGACAAUGUUUCAACAGGCAUGAAAUAAACAUAAGGAAUCACCCAGGCAACCAGUAUAGAGAAAUGCAGUUGCCAUCACUCAGGAAGCCAUGUGACCCCAGGUAGCACAUCACAUAGCAAACUCAGCGCAGGCCUGGCAAUCACGAGGACAAAGAGCUCAGCCAUGACCCUGACAGGGUAACUGGCCAUUUCUCCAGGUGACAAGGGCGCAGGGACUGCCAGCACCAUGGCUUGUGACUACGUUCAUAAUGGAAGCAGUGCUACAUUGUAGCUAGACUGGCGAACAUUAAGUGAAAAAUAGCAGUGAAAAUAGUGGUGUCCCCCAUCUAAGUCCACAGACCCGUGGAUUCCUCUCUUAUGGACUCAGGCUAAGAGCACUGACAUAGGACAGCGGGGGGGGGGGUUCCCUAAGAAAGAGGGCAAUGGGCUGGCCCAGCGGUAGGCUGUCCUGCAGUGCCCAGGCCAGCAGCUCUCCUGAUUAUUUAACUGAAAAAAUUCUUUUCAUCCUCCACCUGCUUGAGCUUGGUGCUCAGGCCCAGCUUCUGCCGGUUCUCCUCCUGCAGCAGCUCCUAAUCCCGGGAUGAGAUGAAUGUGGGUGCUCAGGAGAGCAACCUCAUCAUUGUGAGACAGUCACCUUAAGGACCGGCUAAUACAGAAAGGCACUUUAUAUAGAAACAAGAAGUACCAAACCUCAGAGUGCUCAGGUUUCUGAACCCCAGAAACCCCACACCCUACAGAAAAAAAAGGAGCCGGUCCUGCUGAUUCACGGGAUGAUCAUGUAAAGACCUGGUGAAAGCUGGGAGCACGCAGAGACUGCCCCUCCAGGAUGAAAAGGAGAAUGGGCAAUCUGACCAGCUCUAGAGCUAAUAGGCAGAGGGGCCUUCCUAAAGGAGUCCACCUUCCAAGAACCUGAAUUUCCAUGGGAUAUUGAGCAAGUCCAUGUUGGCUGCCAAAUACAAAAUUGUUUUUCAGGAAGAAAAUGUUGCUACUGAGAAAUAGGCUCACUACUAGCUUGUCAGUGAUGUCACCUUUUGUCCGACAUCAUCAAUCAGGCCUCAGUUGGUCAUAAGCUCCAGUGAGUGGUAGCUGGAGUCCAUGACAGCUGAGGCCGGAUUCACAGCGGCAGUCAAAAAUGAUAGUCCCUUGAUAUUCUAGAAGCCCCAAAGACAUCUCUCUUCAAGACAAACAAAUACAUCUUACCACGUGAGGUGACGUCUCCUCCAGAGGCCCCUCGGUCGUACCCUCCUCCGGGUCUUGAACGGGAGCUAGGAGGAAACAGAGAGACAGUCAGUGCACUGGUGCUGCUGAGGAAUCCCACCAGGAGGCUUGGGGGAUGUGGACCGAAGCUGCAGUGUACGGAGCUGCGCUGCCGACAAGCAUGGACUGAGCUGCUCAUGGACCACUCUCCUUGGUGUUGAAGGAAGGCAAAGGACAGGGGCACAAAUGAACCAAAGAGCCUUGGGCUUUCUAGCUAUGGCAACCUCAUCACUGUGAGACAGUCACCUUAAGGACCGGCUAAUACAGAAAGGCACUGUAUAUAGAAACAAGAAGUACAUUAGGGCUGCCUAGAACCGGGGUGCAAGGUUGGGAAAAACAGAGGGGUGUCUACUAACGAGGUUUCUUUGAGGAGGAAUGAAGAGGUUUUGAAAUUAGAUUGUAACAUGCAUGCAUAGCCUAUAAAUAUAGUAAAAACACCAAUCACCCACUCUAAAUGGGUGAAUCGGGUUGCGGGUCAACUACAUCCCAAUGAAGCCAUGUUCAACAGAGAAUACGUACGGUGGUGAUAUUCACAGGCUGCAUCCUCCUGCAGUAAGAGGGAGGAAAAAAACCAUCGUGAGGAUGAGAUCAUACUGGGUCCCGACUGCACGGGUCUUUUAUUCACUUGGUGGUGUUAGAAAACCAGGUAUCAAACAGUGAUCAAGUCACUGAUCCCCAAAUACAGCCUAGAGGAUGCCUGGAGAAAGGGCUGUGGGUUUCUGUCUUUGGUUUUGGACAGAUUCUUGCUCUGUCACCCAGGCUGGAGUGCAGUGGCAUGAUCUCGGCUCACUGCAACCUCAGCUUCCCGGGUUCAAGCAUUUCUCCUGCCUCACUCAGCCUUCCAAGUAGCUGUGACCACAGGCGCCUGCCACCACGCCCGGCUAGUGUUUGCAUUUAUAGUAGAGAUGGGGUUUCAUUAUGUUGGCCCUGUCUGCCUCAGCCUCCCAAAGUGCUGGGAUUCCAUGUGUGAGCCACCCAGGCAGUAGGUUUCCAUGGGAUACUGAGCAAGUCCAUGUUGGCUGCCAAAUACAAAAUUAUUUUUCAGGAAGAAAAUGUUGCUACUGAGAAAUAGGCUCACUACUAGCUUGUCAGUGAUGUCACCUUUUGUCCGACAUCAUCAAUCAGGCCUCAGUUGGUCAUAAGCUCCAGUGACUGGUAGCUGGAAUCCAUGACAGCUGAGGCCGGAUUCACAGCGGCAGUCAAAAAUGAUAGUCCCUUGAUAUUCUAGAUGUCUAGAAUUUUUUUCAAGACAAAGAAAUGCAUCUUACCACGUGAGGUGACGUCUCCUCCCGAGGCCUCUCAGUCGUACCCUCCUCCGGGUCUUGAACGGGAGCUAGGAGGAAACAGAGAGAUAGUCAGUGCACUGGUGCUGCUGAGGAAUCCCACGAGGAAGCUUUGGGGGAUGUGGACCGAAGCUGCAGUGUACGGAGCUGCGCUGCUGACAAGCAUGAACUGAGCUGCUCCUGGACCACUCUUCCUGGUGUUGACAGAAGGCAAAGGAAAAACGAAAGAGCCUUGGGCUUUCUAGCUACGGCAACCUCAUCACUGUGAAACAGUCUGAGAACCGGUUAACACAGAAAGACACUGCAUGGCUCAGCGAGAGCAUCUCAUCAGACCUGCUGCCCACGUGAAGGUCUAUGCGAAUCCCAACAUUUUAUGAAACUUUACAGGAUUAUUUAACUUCUGUGGAUCUGCAUAUCCUGAUACUACAAUUAUCUAUCCUGUUGUAUUUUUAAAAUUGUAGUAAAGCAUACAUAUUUAUUAUUUGAGUUAUUAACUGUGCAUUUUAAUGCACAACAUUCAUGAUGCUGUGUCAAUAAUGAGAAAAAUCUAAAUUCAUAAUCUAGCUUCCACCUUGGGCAAUGAAAGAAAAACAGCAGUGUAAUGUCAAAUAGAGGAAAAACACAUAAUGAUUGCAGAAAUUAAAGGAAUAAAAAACAGGAAAUCGUCAGAGAAAAUCAACAAAACCAAAAACUAGUUCUUUGAAAAGAUCAAAAACAUUGAUAAACCUGUCCCUUUUCUAUCCAGAAAGGAAAAGAAGGAAGUCACGAUGGAUGCUGGAUGCGUAACUGUAAACACAUCUGUGCUCACACUUGGAUACAUUAUAUGAAAUGAGCUAAUUUUCUGGAUCUGUUUCAGAAGGUUAAAAGUCUUCUCAGGAUAAAUGAAUCAUCUGAAUAGGUCUAUAUUUAAUUUAGAAAUUGAAUCAAUAAUUAGUAUCCUCUCAAAAAAAAAAAAACAACAAAACACUACCUUCAGAUGAAUUCACCGGUAAAUUCUACCAAAAUUCUCACAAAGAAAGGUAGUCUUACCAUACAAGCAAGUAACCAUAAUUUUAGCAUUGCCUUAGUUACAUUGUAAAAAUUAUGUUUCCAAACAAGACACAAGAAGGUUUAUACCUGCUGUAUUCAUAAUUGCCCAAACUGAAAGCAAAGGUCUAAGUAUUCGAGACGUCCUUUACUAUCAAAAGUGAACCAAGCCUGGGAAACAUGGUGAAAUCCUGUCUCUACAAAAAAAGUAACAUUAAAAAAAAAAAAUAGCUUGGUAUAACAGCAUGUGCAUUACAGCUAACUGCUUGGGAGGCUGAGGUAGAAGGAUCAGCUGAACAUGGGGAGGUCAAGAUUGCAAUGAGCUGUGAUUGCACCAAUGCACUCCUGGGUGACAAAAUGAGACCUUCUCACAAAAAUAAAGAAACAAAAAGAACCAAACUCUAAGUUGUCAACGUAACUUUCCUUGUGUAGUUGCAUCACCCGUUGAUUAAAUGCAUUUCAAUGGGCACGAACGAAAUAAAUGAAGAACCUGACAUAGCAUUUACUGAGUUUCUCUGAUAUGGGACACUGGAGGAGUAAACUGAAAUUAUUUGCUUCAAUAAACUUAAUGAUAUAAUUUCCACCCUACCUUCAUUUUCUUUGCGGCAAAUUUUUUUACGCCUCCUUUUUGCUGCCCAGCUCCUGGCGCGGCCAGCCAAACCUGCAAGGCAGAAAUGCAUCAUAAUAAAGACAGUGCUUGACAUCUUACUGGCAGAGGACCACGGAGAAAUCAGUAAAAACGUUCUCAGUUUAAACUUUUGAUCCUAGUUUUCACCGACUGCUUUUCAAUGCGACCUGAAUUAGAUCUGGGUUCUAGGAAGAUUUGUUUGUGCAGGCAGAUACCUUUAUUCAGAUGAGACAAUACAGAGAAGCAGAAGUUCCAAGUUACCAAAAAAUAGGCUGGGUUCAAAUCCUACUUAGAAUCUGCACAUACCUGGGAGAGGGAUAUGAACCCAUCUGUGCCUCUCUUCCCUAUUCUCAGAUGUGGAAACAUUAGUAGAUCUAGGCUAUAGACCUAAGGUUAUAGUGUCUAAAAGAAUGAAAUGCAGAUAAAGACUUAAAUAGACUCAUGUUUUUGGAAAUGCCCUAAAAUGUUUAAUCAAUGUCGAGAAGAAUAAUCCAGACACUUGGUAGUGGUUGAAUACAGAGAGGGAGCUUGCAUGUCUCUGCGCAGGGUUAGGAUGGAAAGUGACUUCACAGUUUCUAUGGCCACAUGAUUUCCAGCUCAUGACAGAGAUCUCUGAUUUCCCUGAUCCCCAAGUCAGCCCCAAGGGAUAGGCAGGGAAGGGGCUACAACCCGUAUUUUCAAAUUCAGUGAAUUCAAAUUCAGACAUUUUGAGUGACUUGCCCAGUCACCACAGUGAGGAGUGAUAGGUCUGAGGUAAUCAUGUGGUUGGUUCCCCGGGGAGAGAGAUCCCGGAACACCUGAGUCCUCUAGAUCAUGCCCUGGACCCUGGACCGAGAGCUCUUCUCACAAGCUCUGUGAAAUCCUGCUGCCCCAGUGUUUCUGUGGGAUGGUUGAGGCUAUGGAGAGGUCGCAGGUGGCUUACCGCAGUUACUGACCUACUCUAUUAUCCCUAUGUUGUCACUUUUAGUAGUUUUAUGACCCAUAAGGCAAACAUUUUAAGUCUCAGUUAUGAUGCACGGUCUGAGAUUUUAUCUGAAUCCACUCUUUCCACCAUCAGGUGAUUCUCAUUGGCUGGGCUGGAGCUGGCCUGCCGUAAAAGAGGACACAUGGCAUACCACUGAGCGGCUGUGCGCCCCACUCCUGCGCAUACUCUUGCCUUGCUUCUGCUUUCCCAGCUCUGACAAUCCUAAUUCUGGCUUCCAAACCAAUCCUACUUUUAGGAACAUUUCUGGGCUAAGUGUGCUGGCCCAUGGCUGUAAUCCUGACAGUUUUGGAGGUUAAGGCAGAAGAACUGCUUGAGGUCAGACGUUUGAGACCAACCUGGGCAACACAGUGAGACCUCGUUUCUAGAAAAAAUCUACAAAUUACCAGAUGUGGCGGUGAGCCCUUGUAUCCCUAGCUACAUGGAAGGCUGUUGUGGGAAGAUCGUUUGAGCCUAGAAGAUUGAGGCUGCAGUGAGCUAUGAUCACGCCACUGCCUGGGUGACAAAGCAAGACCCUGUCUUUUCACAAUAAAAAGCAUUACUGUGUCACAAGUAUCCCCAUUUUAUUUCUCAUUAUCUAAUAUUGCUGUUUUCAUCCUGAGGCUUAAUUGCUUUAGUAAGCUAAGAAAAAAAAAAGUUUUUAUUUUUAUUUUUAGAAAGGGUACUAUUUAAAGCAGGUCAUAUGCAUGCCCUUUUGUAAAUUCCAGUUUUAUAUGCCAUAUAUCUAGAAUUUACACUCUUGAUGUACUGAGUCUUCUUCUUAGAACCAGCCUCCUCUUAUGUAACACAGUAUAAUUCCCAUUUUACACCUGACUCGAAACAUUGAGAGGAUAGAAUAAAAUGAAAGAGCAGUCUGUAUACCACGUAAUGCACAAUGAAUCACAAAGCGAAGUUUUCUCCAACUCAAAGGCGACAAGUGCACAGUUAGCGUCCUCUGCAGAACCCAUAGCAAAAUGAAAUUUUGAGAAAAUAUGCACUUUGGCUGCCCAGUGAAGUUAGAAGGAAACUGUCACAGGUCAUCAUCAAGACUUCCCCAACAUUGGCUUUUAUUUUUAAAUAAUGAAAUACACAUGAUUUCGCCUGCUUUCUUCGUGUAUAUUACUGCAUGUUCUCUUUGCUUUUCUGCAUACCCUAUCUUGGGAAUCACUCCAUAGCAAUAAAAAGACAUCUUACUCUUUUUUACAGCUCCAUACUUCUCCUUUAUGUAGAAAUACCAGCUUAUUUUUUUUUUCUUAGAAAUAAACAUUUAAUAAGGACUGAUAAACAGAAGCCAUGUCUGUGUCUUGAGGGGUGGCAAGACAAGAUGGUGGAUCCCUGUGCCAUUACCCCUCACAUCCCUCAGACCGAGGGCGUGUAUACCAUA